CCCUAAUCUUUGGAAGAUCUUUCUGAUGGAAUAUCUUUUUCUUUGGUUUCAUUUCUUUUGGGCAAUUUCAGAAUCAAGCUUUUAACUUCACCAUCUGUAAGCGUGGAUAGACGGUUCUUUGUUCGGCAAAGCCACUGUCAGUUUAUGUAUGGACGAAAUCGGUUAUUCAAGCCUGGUCUUUGUUAGAUAGAUAGCAAUUUUACUCGCAAUUUAUAUACUUGUAAUAUUCUGAUAUUUAUUAAACAACUUUCAAUUGUGUAAGUGAAUUAAAUUUGAAUUAAGUUAAGCUUGCGGUAAAUUAAAUAUGCAAUAUUGGUUCAGAAAUCAGGAAUGUCAAUUUAUGACAUUACAUCAACAUGACAAUUUCUAGUGAGUCGUGUAACUAUCAUCAAUUUGGCUAUUUCCUUUCGUAUUAUGGAGUCAGUUUAGUUCACUGAUAUGUAUAUUACACUGGAUAAAGCACCACGUAUAAAAUAUAGUAAGAUAAUUGAAGCCAGAAGUUGGCUAAUCUGAUUAUGACCUUCGUGGGGGGUAUCAGUCCCACUUUACUAUACUUUUGUAAUACAAAAUCACAGUUUUUGCAUUUUUAUUCGUUCUAUCAACAUUUGAUUCUAGCAAAAUUUUUGUGAAAGGGACAGAACAACCGGCAAAAACCUUUUGAUGAACAUUAAUCGUCCAGUUGUUCCCUUAAAGCAAGCCGAAAAGCUGAAUUCGGAAGCCGACAAAGAGGGUAUGCGUUUGACAAAGACGAAAGCAAGAGACGGGGCGUUGCAGAUUUGUAAAAACUUCAUUAAAGAUGAAAGUCUCAGAAGCAUCUUACCAAGCGAAACGAGCAGGUCGAACAUUUGUCUUGGACAUUUCAUUUGUGUGGUGGACUUAUCGAUAGAUUAAAAAGGCUUCAUCAAGGAAAAUUUCAAAUCAUUGAUAAAGAAUGCUAAUGCAUCAGAGUAGCAAGACUUUGACAACAUGAUAUUGGCCAUGGACCGUUCUCUCAUUUCUUUGAGCCCACCAAAGAUGCAACAAAUUUCGAUUUCAAUGAGUCAAACUGCAAUAAGAGAUGAAGACAAGAAAGAGCGACAAGCAGCUUUGGCUGAAAACCAUGAAAGAUAGGCAAGGUCACAAUUCGUUUGUUGAAGUUUGCUGAAGAAGCCAUUGUCAAUGAAGUUGAAAGCGAUGUGUGGAAGAUUUUCUCCGACAUUUCCACCAGCUGCUGGUUCAGUUCAAGGACAAAUACUCUUCAGCAAGGAGCCGCAAGUCUCUCAUCAAUGUUCAUUCAAUUGCUUCAGGGCAGUAGAAUCAUCGCGAUUAUUUGAAUAGAUUUAUAGAGUAAUAACAUGUACUUUUAAAGAAGAAAUUCUCGUUGUAGUUUUGUCACCGCCACAAACGAAGAACAAUGUUUACGAAGCUCAAAGCCACAUGUUUUUGAUGAAGCAGCCAUUGGCAAUGAACUUUUAACAUGCAAUUGGCAUAGAAGAAAGCGAUCCGUUUUGAAAGUGUUGCUGUUUUCAAAAUUAUUAUUAAUGUUGGCCUGAUGAGAUGAAGACAAGAAAGAGCAACACGCAGCUUUGGCUGAAGAACAUGAAAAGUAAAUUUAAAUAGAAUGUGAGAAUCAAUUCGUUCGUUGAAGUUUGGUGAAGAAGCCAUUAUCGAUGAAGUUCAAAGCGAUGUUUUUCUUCAAUCAAAUGUAGCAGAUAUAAGCUAGCGUCAGGAAUACGUUUAAAAAAGAUCCAACAUGGAUGUAGUAGAGUUGUGAAAGUCCCUUUGCCACCUGUGUCCUUUGCUUCAAUUACUCUCACUAGUUUUUCAUUACGAAUGUGUCAUGGUGAUUCAUGGCCAAGAUUGUUUAUGUGUAGUUUUGAUUCAUUCUUGAUGUCAGUUGUUUGUUCAUAUAAUGAUGAUGGGCCCCAUUGUUGUAUGAGCCCACCUAACGGUGGUCAGCUGAUAAAGAUGAUCAACUCUGCACUAAGCCAUCUUUAAGUGAUGAUAUAACUGGGGUAUUGAAGUCCCUUUUCCUUUCCUCAAAGUUGUGUAUAUAAAUGUUACGAUAUUCUUUCAACAUGAAAACAAAUGAGUGGAAAAAGUAGCUACAAAAGAAGAUGGAAAAAGUUUUGUUAUAUGCUACUUGAUUUAUUUCUGUUGUUCUUGUGAAAAUCUCAAUGGUUUUUAUUGGUGGUACUGAUUUUUGGUUUGUUUAUCGAAUGGCACAUUUAUUCAGCUAAAGGUUUACUUAUUGUCUUUGUGAAAGGUGUCGUGAUGUCAAUUAUUGAAAUGUUAACAAUUGCAAGAGUCACUUUAAUGUUGUACAAAGAAAGAUCCAACCAACAUGGAUGUAGUAGAGUUGUGAAAGUCCCUUUGCCACCUGUGUCCUUUGCUUCAAUUACUCUCACUAGUUUUCAUUACGAAUGUGUCAUGGUGAUUCAUGGCCAAGAUUGUUUAUGUGUAGUUUUGAUUCAUUCUUGAUGUCAGUUGUUUGUUCAUAUAAUGAUGAUGGGCCCCAUUGUUGUAUGAGCCCACCUAACGGUGGUCAGCUGAUAAUCAAAGAUGAUCAACUCUGCACUAAGCCAUCUUUAAGUGAUGAUAUAACUGGGGUAUUGAAGUCCCUUUUCCUUUCCUCGAAGUUGUGUAUAUAAUAUAUCUGCUUUCAAGUUCAUAUCAACUUAAACUGCACUCAUAUCAUGAUAAAAAUAUAUGGAUAUUAGUAGAUAUUGUCUAUAGUUGAUUCAUUAUUUGUGUUAUUAAUUAUAUUAUCAAUCAUAUUAUUAAUUAUAUUAUUAAUUAUAUUAUUUCUUUGAAAGUAUUGUAUUGAAUGUGUAAUUAGUUUUGAUUAUUCCGACACAAGUAACAUUGAAUUGCUUCUUUGAUCUUCAUAUUAUGUACUUAUGAUUGAUAAGCCAUUUAUUAUGAUUGUAAAUUGUACAAUAAAUGAAUAGAUUCUACUUUGGACAAAUGCCAAAA